rnacentral:lncRNA from 1 species
UCCGUGGCGCGCGAGGACCGACCCCCGAGGCCCGAUCGCCCUCCCCGCGACGGCCAACGCCGCGGGUACGAUUUCGACGGUCGCAAGGUGUACUUCGGCAACCUGUCCUGGGGCAUGGACCACCUCGACCUCCAGGAUCUGUGCGGGGAGUUUGGCACCGUGGAGGAUGCGCGGCUCAUCACCGACCGCGAGACGAAUCGCUCCAGGGGUUUCGGGUUCGUGACCAUGUCCACCGUGGCGGAGGCGGAGGAGGUCGUCAACCAGCUCAACGGGCAGGACGUCGAUGGACGCGUGCUCCGCGUCAACAUCGCCAACGUCGACAAGUAAGCGCGACGGGGGUAAGGUGACGAUGUGACUGACGCGUUCCUUCGGGGAAAAAUUACGGAUAUCAUUGUUUUUUGCUAAGUAACACAAACGGGGAGACACGCGGUGGAUGACGCGGCGGGGGAGGCGGCGACGCGGUUGUAGCUUAUUGUCUUCUCUCACUGGCGAUGCGGUUGCACAGCUUGUACAGGCGACGCGAGAGCCACGCUUGCAGGUUUUCGUUUGAACCCCCGGGACAAUGCGUCCCGGUUGUAACACGAAAUUUCAGGCUGAAGUUUUUCAACACGGUUUCGCUCGCCAUCCUCAGAUUGACCUCCCCGGCGC